rnacentral:rRNA from 1 species
CACGUAGGGCGCAAGCGUUGUCCGGAAUUAUUGGGCGUAAAGAGCGUGUAGGCGGCUUUACAGGUCCGUUGUGAAAACUCGAGGCUCAACCUCGAGACGCCGGUGGAAACCGUAAGGCUAGAGUCCGGAAGAGGAGAGUGGAAUUCCUGGUGUAGCGGUGAAAUGCGCAGAUAUCAGGAGGAACACCGGUGGCGAAGGCGGGUCUCUGGGCCGAUACUGACGCUGAGGAGCGAAAGCGUGGGGAGCGAACAGG